rnacentral:misc_RNA from 1 species
UUUCCGUAGGUGAACCUGCGGAAGGAUCAUUACAGUGUUCUCUGCCCUCACGGGUCGAAACGCCCACCCUUGUAUAUUAUAUCUUUGUUGCUUUUGCAGGCCGCCCUCGGGCACCGGCUCCGGCUGGAUCGCGCCUGCCAGAGGAAACCCCAACUCUGAAUGUUAGUGUCGUCUGGGUAAUAUCUAAUAGUUAAAACUUUCAACAACGGAUCUCUUGGUUCUG